GACGAACGCUGGCGGCGUGCUUAACACAUGCAAGUCGAACGAUGAACCCGGAGCUUGCUCCGGUGGAUUAGUGGCGAACGGGUGAGUAGCACGUGAGUAACCUGCCCUUGACUCUGGGAUAACUGCGGGAAACUGUAGCUAAUACCGGAUACGACCCUCGGCGGCAUCGCCAGGGGGUGGAAAGAAUUUCGGUCAAGGAUGGACUCGCGGCCUAUCAGCUAGUUGGUGAGGUAACGGCUCACCAAGGCGACGACGGGUAGCCGGCCUGAGAGGGUGACCGGCCACACUGGGACUGAGACACGGCCCAGACUCCUACGGGAGGCAGCAGUGGGGAAUAUUGCACAAUGGGCGCAAGCCUGAUGCAACAACGCCGCGUGAGGGAUGACGGCCUUCGGGUUGUAAACCUCUUUUAGUAGGGAAGAAGCGAGAGUGACGGUACCUGCAGAAAAAGCACCGGCUAACUACGUGCCAGCCGCCGCAGUAA
rnacentral:rRNA from 1 species